AUAGCAUAUCAAUAAGCGGAGGAAAAGAAACUAACAAGGAUUCCCCUAGUAACUGCGAGUGAAGCGGGAAAAGCUCAAAUUUAAAAUCUGGCGGUCUUCGGCCGUCCGAGUUGUAGUCUGGAGAAGUGCUUUCCGCGCUGGACCGUGUAUAAGUCUCUUGGAACAGAGCGUCAUAGAGGGUGAGAAUCCCGUCUUUGACACGGACUACCAGUGCUUUGUGAUGCGCUCUCAAAGAGUCGAGUUGUUUGGGAAUGCAGCUCAAAAUGGGUGGUGAAUUCCAUCUAAAGCUAAAUAUUGGCGAGAGACCGAUAGCGAACAAGUACCGUGAGGGAAAGAUGAAAAGCACUUUGGAAAGAGAGUUAAACAGUACGUGAAAUUGCUGAAAGGGAAACGCUUGAAGUCAGUCGCGUCGUCCGGAACUCAGCCUUGCUUUCGCUUGGUGCACUUUCCGGAUGACGGGUCAGCAUCGAUUUUGACCGUCGGAAAAGGGCUGGAGUAAUGUGGCACCUCCGGGUGUGUUAUAGACUCUAGUCGCAUACGGCGGUUGGGAUCGAGGAACGCAGCGCGCCGCAAGGCAGGGGUUCGCCCACUUUCGCGCUUAGGAUGCUGGCAUAAUGGCUUUAAACGACCCGUCUUGAAACACGGACCAAGGAGUCUAACAUACCUGCGAGUGUUUGGGUGGAAAACCCGAGCGCGUAAUGAAAGUGAAAGUUGAGACCUCUGUCGUGGAGGGCAUCGACGCCCGGACCUGACGUUCUCUGAAGGAUCCGCGGUAGAGCAUGUAUGUUGGGACCCGAAAGAUGGUGAACUAUGCCUGAAUAGGGUGAAGCCAGAGGAAACUCUGGUGGAGGCUCGUAGCGAUUCUGACGUGCAAAUCGAUCGUCAAAUUUGGGUAUAGGGGCGAAAGACUAAUCGAACCAUCUAGUAGCUGGUUCCUGCCGA
rnacentral:rRNA from 1 species